rnacentral:rRNA from 1 species
UACAGAGGUCUCAAGCGUUGUUCGGAUUCAUUGGGCGUAAAGGGUGCGUAGGCGGCGCGGUAAGUCGGGUGUGAAAUCUUGGAGCUUAACUCCGAAACUGCAUUCGAUACUGCCGUGCUUGAGGACUGGAGAGGAGACUGGAAUUUACGGUGUAGCGGUGAAAUGCGUAGAUAUCGUAAGGAAGACCAGUGGCGAAGGCGGGUCUCUGGACAGUUCCUGACGCUGAAGCACGAAAGCUAGGGGAGCAAACGGG